AACCACUCGAGGCCAGACCAGAUAAUGGGAGGGAGGCGGAGAGCAGCACGAGCGAGUCGAUUAGUGUUCACUGUUGGAAGUAGGGAGCUGUUUGUAAAAGUUUGAAAUGGGAAAACUCUGCUAAUGGAGCAGAAUUCAGCGGCUGCAGGCUUUUUAACUGGAGCUCAGAGAUCAGAUACUCCGUAGUGUUUUUAACAUCACCCAUUACAGUUUGGAGCAGUCAUCGUGGAGGUGGCCCCCUCCUUCCAGUUGAAUCCCAGGACAGCCAGCGGACUGGGCCCAGACAACAUGCAGAGAACAUACAGAUUUGGAUCAUGUGGUGAUGAUGAUGAUGGCGGCCCGACUCCUUUUGAAGCUUCAUCAUUAAACUGGAGGAAACUGUGUGCAGGAUUCUGAGAAAAGAGUGAAGCAGACAGAGAGGAAAUAAUGAAACUCAGCUCUGUCAUCACUUCUACCUUACAUGUAUUAUACUGAGUUCAGAUUCAGCACAUUAUACCGUAGACCUCCACUGACAGGCUUCCUCAGCCUCAGCUCAUGUGCUAACAUUUUGAACUGAACAGUGUUUUAGCACACCAAUCACUUUGUCAUAUUGUCAUUAUGUUUCUAAAUUAGCCCUCCGCGUCCUCUGGAGGCUCGGCUUGUUAUCAGCGCUGUUAAGCUGUUUCCCUGAGGGAUGGGAUAAAGUUAGCCCCGUCUCCAUCUGCACCGUACACUUCACAAAUCACUGGAUUCGUUUUGGGACUACAGUGCUGCAGAAUUAGUGUAAAUUAUUAAGUGUUAUUCUUGGCUGUGAGGACUCUGUUGUAUG